GCCUACGGGGGGCAGCAGCGGGGAAUAUUGCACAAUGGGGGAAACCCUGAUGCAGCGACGCCGCGUGAGCGAUGAAGUAUCUCGGUAUGUAAAGCUCUAUCAGCAGGGAAGAAAAUGACGGUACCUGAGUAGGAAGCCCCGGCUAACUACAUGCCAGCAGCCGCGGUAAUACGUAGGGGGCAAGCGUUAUCCGGAUUUACUGGGUGUAAAGGGAGCGUAGACGGCGAUGCAAGUCUGAAGUGAAAGCCCGGGGCUCAACCCCGGGACUGCUUUGGAAACUGUAUGGCUGGAG
rnacentral:rRNA from 1 species